rnacentral:rRNA from 1 species
AUUGAACGCUGGCGGCAUGCUUUACACAUGCCAGUCGAACGGCAGCGCGGGCUUCGGCCUGGCGGCGAGUGGCGAACGGGUGAGUAAUACAUCGGAACGUGCCCAGUAGUGGGGGAUAGCUCGGCGAAAGCCGGAUUAAUACCGCAUACGACCUGAGGGUGAAAGCGGGGGAUCUUCGGACCUCGCGCUAUUGGAGCGGCCGAUGGCAGAUUAGCUAGUUGGUGGGGUAAGGGCCUACCAAGGCGACGAUCUGUAGCUGGUCUGAGAGGACGACCAGCCACACUGGGACUGAGACACGGCCCAGACUCCUACGGGAGGCAGCAGUGGGGAAUUUUGGACAAUGGGCGAAAGCCUGAUCCAGCAAUGCCGCGUGUGUGAUGAAGGCCUUCGGGUUGUAAAGCACUUUUGGCGGGAACGAAAAGGACUGUGCCAAUACCACGGUUCGAUGACGGUACCCGCAGAAUAAGCACCGGCUAACUACGUG